CCCAGUUAUAUAUUAGGUCUGCCCCAAACCCAGUUAUAUAUUAGGUCUGCCUCAAACCCAGUUAUAUAUUAGGUCUGCCUCAAACCCAGUUAUAUAUUAGGUCUGCCCCAAACCCAGUUAUAUAUUAGGUCUGCCCCAAACCCAGUUAUAUAUUAGGUCUGCCUCAAACCCAGUUAUAUAUUAGGUCUGCCCCAAACCCAGUUAUAUAUUAGGUCUGCCCCAAACCCAGUUAUAUAUUAGGUCUGCCUCAAACCCAGUUAUAUAUUAGGUCUGCCCCAAACCCAGUUAUAUAUUAGGUCUGCCCCAAACCCAGUUAUAUAUUAGGUCUGCCCCAAACCCAGUUAUAUAUUAGGUCUGCCUCAAACCCAGUUAUAUAUUAGGUCUGCCCCAAACCCAGUUAUAUAUUAGGUCUGCCUCAAACCCAGUUAUAUAUUAGGUCUGCCCCAAACCCAGUUAUAUAUUAGGUCUGCCCCAAACCCAGUUAUAUAUUAGGUCUGCCCCAAACCCAGUUAUAUAUUAGGUCUGCCCCAAACCCAGUUAUAUAUUAGGUCUGCCCCAAACCCAGUUAUAUAUUAGGUCUGCCUCAAACCCAGUUAUAUAUUAGGUCUGCCCCAAACCCAGUUAUAUAUUAGGUCUGCCCCAAACCCAGUUAAAUAUUAGGUCUGCCUCAAACCCAGUUAUAUAUUAGGUCUGCCUCAAACCCAGUUAUAUAUUAGGUCUGCCUCAAACCCAGUUAUAUAUUAGGUCUGCCCCAAACCCAGUUAUAUAUUAGGUCUGCCCCAAACCCAGUUAUAUAUUAGGUCUGCCUCAAACCCAGUUAUAUAUUAGGUCUGCCCCAAACCCAGUUAUAUAUUAGGUCUGCCCCAAACCCAGUUAUAUAUUAGGUCUGCCCCAAACCCAGUUAUAUAUUAGGUCUGCCUCAAACCCAGUUAUAUAUUAGGUCUGCCCCAAACCCAGUUAUAUAUUAGGUCUGCCCCAAACCCAGUUAUAUAUUAGGUCUGCCUCAAACCCAGUUAUAUAUUAGGUCUGCCCCAAACCCAGUUAUAUAUUAGGUCUGCCCCAAACCCAGUUAUAUAUUAGGUCUGCCCCAAACCCAGUUAUAUAUUAGGUCUGCCUCAAACCCAGUUAUAUAUUAGGUCUGCCCCAAACCCAGUUAUAUAUUAGGUCUGCCCCAAACCCAGUUAAAUAUUAGGUCUGCCUCAAACCCAGUUAUAUAUUAGGUCUGCCUCAAACCCAGUUAUAUAUUAGGUCUGCCCCAAACCCAGUUAUAUAUUAGGUCUGCCCCAAACCCAGUUAUAUAUUAGGUCUGCCCCAAACCCAGUUAUAUAUUAGGUCUGCCUCAAACCCAGUUAUAUAUUAGGUCUGCCCCAAACCCAGUUAUAUAUUAGGUCUGCCCCAAACCCAGUUAUAUAUUAGGUCUGCCUCAAACCCAGUUAUAUAUUAGGUCUGCCCCAAACCCAGUUAUAUAUUAGGUCUGCCCCAAACCCAGUUAAAUAUUAGGUCUGCCUCAAACCCAGUUAUAUAUUAGGUCUGCCUCAAACCCAGUUAUAUAUUAGGUCUGCCCCAAACCCAGUUAUAUAUUAGGUCUGCCCCAAACCCAGUUAUAUAUUAGGUCUGCCCCAAACCCAGUUAUAUAUUAGGUCUGCCUCAAACCCAGUUAUAUAUUAGGUCUGCCCCAAACCCAGUUAUAUAUUAGGUCUGCCCCAAACCCAGUUAUAUAUUAGGUCUGCCUCAAACCCAGUUAUAUAUUAGGUCUGCCCCAAACCCAGUUAUAUAUUAGGUCUGCCCCAAACCCAGUUAUAUAUUAGGUCUGCCUCAAACCGAGUAAAAACCUUUUCUCACCAACUGUGUUGCAAUCUUUUUGUCCGAAUUAUGAAAAAAUACAGAUUCCUUUUUUUCACGCAGUAAAUAACCAUUCACGCAGUAAAA